UUUUAUGGUAACUGCAUCCACCUUGCCUUUGGGGAUUGAGUGCUCUGAUCACUUGACCCCAGCCCCUGUAGUGUGCGUAUGUCACUUACCCUCUUUAUACCUCAGUCUCCUCCUCUAUAAAAUGGGCAUCCUCAUUGCACCCACCCCCAGGGCUGCUGUGAGGUAUAGAUGGAUUAGCAUAUGGAAAGUAAUAGAAGAGGGUCUCAAAGUCCAUGUGUCGUUAUCAGAAUUAUUUCGUGACAGGGGAGAGCUGGAGGAGAGAGGAAGGUGCUGAGCAGACCCACGUGCUCUCCCACCAGUGUUUCCUCAGCACCUACUAUGUGCUGCCCACUGUGAGAGCUGUUAGGGUUGAAACAGGGAGCACAGCAGGGUAGGGGCUGCCAUCAGGAGCUUAGUGGGGAGACCAUUGUGCAACAUGGUUCCAGCGCUUGGGGUGGGGAAGCUCAGGGAGUUCAGGGGCCUAGGAUCGAGGGCAGAAUCAUGGAAAGGACAUAACCUCCCCAGCCUCUCCUGCCUCCAUUGCCUCCCGGGCCUCCUCUGCUUCCCUGGCCUCUCCUACCUUCCUGGCUUCCCCUUCCGCCCCGGCCUCCUCAGUCUCCCCUGUCUCUCCUGCUUUUGAGGUGGGCCAGGAGCUGCUAGUGCUCACUUAGCCUGUCCUGGGCUCUUGGUGUAGCACCUCAAUGUCCAGAAAAUACCCCCGAGUUCAGCUCAUCACACAGUCAAGGAAGGAGCUCCACACUGACACUAAGGGUGCAUCCUGGGCUCAUUCAUCAGGGCAUGCCUCCAAAAUAUUUCUCCACGUCUCCUCCCUUUGCCCACCUGCACUGUCUCUGUGCCUGAGCCCCGGCUGGGGGCCUGCAAGGAUCCCGUAUCUCCUCUGCCCCUGCACGGCUGGGUCCCAGGCAAUCUGUCUGCCCACCACACCUUCCUCCCCUUGCCCACCAUGCUCCAGCCCCACAGUCCUCUUUCUGCUUCUUUCCCAGCCUCUGGGCUUUUGCACACGCUGUUCCCUCUGCCUGAACACCCUCCACUGGGCUGAGAACAACUCUCUGAGACCUCUCUCAGCUGUUGCUUCCUUUGGAAAAGCCGCUGCUGCUGUCCCUCUCCCAGCUCAAAGACGUGCUGAGCCUCCUCUCUUUUUCAGUUCCCAUGCCCCCAGCACUUCUCCUUGGCCUCCUUUGGCCCAGUUGACAAUGUCCAUUCUCAAUGCCUUCCCACCCAGAGCUGAGCCCCACUGGGUGAAGGCAAUGCCUGUCAUGUUCUCCACAAUAUCCCCUCCCCCAUCACCACGACUGGUCCACAGUGAUGCUCAAAAAAGAUCUGUUGGUAGGCAAUGGGAAGGUGCAUUCAUGUCAUCCUGCAGGAGGAAUUCUCCACGAGUUUUGAGCAGCCUCGGGUUUCCCACCACCUCCAAAUCUUGGAAGACACAGGGUGCAGGCAGAGCCCCCGAGCCAUGGCCAGCCCUUCCGGCAGCUCCGAAGCCACUGGCAAGCCCCGAGGCAGGGAUGGCCGGCCCAGGAGGGAGGAGGACGACGUCCCUCCCGAAGAGAAGAGGCUGGGGCUGUAGCUGGAGGGGGGAAGCGCACAGCCCGAGGACUGCGAGAACGGGGAGGACGCGCCGCGGCCAGGCAGGGAGGAGACCGGCACCCAGACAGGUGGCGACCGCAGAGGAUUCCUAUGGGAAUACUCUCUUUGAAGAACCCAUGAAGCAGUGUCAGGCUGGUACGAGGAUCAGCAGUGAUUUCUUUGAGGAGGAGAGCCCGUUUCUUCACUCACAGGCCAUGUCUGAGUGGAUCAAGAAGAACAGAGUGCCCUUUUAUGAGAUUUUGUCUGCGUAGACCACUAGCUUGGUAAAAAUGUCAAAACCAUCCUCGUUCUUUAAUAACAGAUUAUUUUGGACUUUUCUCUGCAAGAAGCAGCAUGGGCAUUCAGAUGCUUUUAAGGAUAAAAUGUUCUUUCUCAUCACCAGGCCUGGUGCUCUGUAUGGCUGAGGUUUUAAUGUGACUUGGUGUCCCUUGGAGUUGCUUCCAGGCAGUGCUCUUGUGGUUGGGUCGCAAGGGGUUGCUUUAUUCGGUGGUGGCUAGAGGAGGUUUUAGCAGAUAAAUCGGGACCCCAGGAGCCCCUGAGUGUCAAGUCCUGCUGCAGGGCAUGUGUU